AUGGCAAGCGAAGAGAAGAAGCCUGAUUCGUGGACGGCAGGACUGCAUGUCAAAACUCCCCCCUANAGGGAUCCCUUUGGCUACCUGCCCCCCCAAGUCAANGUCCAGAACGAAGCCUCCUUGUUGCUUGCCCUCAGCGAACUGGGGGAGCAGGGUGUGGCACCAGGCAUCACCUGUGACCUGAGGAACCACUUGAUGGUGUACCACGGGCAGCCAGAAGGGUGCGUGGUGCGCAAAAUGGAAGCUUCUGAACCACUNCCUUCCUGCCAGGACCUAGAGAACUACUUCCAGGCUGUUCUAAAAAACGCCACCCUGGGAAUCACGACAGAGGUGCAGAUUGUGGGAACCGGAACUCUAGGCAGCCUGACGACUCUGCUCUGUAGCAACAAACCCACCUACUUAGUGAACAGUUUUGCCCCUACCCCAAGGCACCCCAUGAGCAGAUUUGCCUAAGAACAAACUGGAAUCCUAUCCUGGAGGAGGAGCAUCACUGGAAGAAGCUUGUGUUUGAUUUUUCUAUCCAUUUGCUGCUCUGAGAAUAAUCCAAUCAAAUAGCUGAAUAAUAGGAAUUAAAAAUUGAAACAAG
rnacentral:lncRNA from 1 species